GGCUCGGCCGGGCGGUCCUCCGUAAGGUGCGUACUGUCUGGCCGGGCCUUACCUCUUGGUGAGGCGGCAUGCCCUUCACUGGGUGUGUCGCGGAACCAGGACUUUUACCUUGAGAAAAUUAGAGUGUUCAAAGCAGGCCUACGCCUGAAUACGUUAGCAUGGAAUAAUGAAAUAGGACGU
rnacentral:rRNA from 1 species